CCGCCUCCCCCUCCUGACUCCUACCGACGACACUAGCGCCGCCGUCCUCACUAUCCUCUCCCCCAGAUCUGACAAAAUCUCUCUCUCUCUUUCCAACAAACUUCGGCGGACGACAGCAGCCCUCCUCCGGCCGCCGCCACCGCUCGUUCUCCCUUCAAAUCUUCAACCGACAGCAGCAGAGUCGCGGCCGCCGCCGUCCGUCUGCCUUGACGGUGGUGGAGGAAUUUUUGGUGGUUUGGAGGCGGAGUGAGGAAGGUUUGGAGUUGGUGGAUGGGAGAGGGGCGCCGGAGGAAAGGGCGGAGGAAGGCGGAGGCAGCGCGCAGCGGAGGGUGAGAGCGUGGAUAGUGUUCAUAGCUUGUCCAUUUGAUGUUUAGAAAGAAACGACGCACCCUUUUGAUUCAAAUGUUGGAUGAAAUUUGUGAUGUUGUAAUAUUUGAUUAAUAAUGUUUGAAUGAAUGUAUGGAUUUUUAGUAUUAAUAUAUGUAUUUUUAGUUUUCUA